rnacentral:rRNA from 1 species
UACGUAGGGUGCGAGCGUUGUCCGGAAUUAUUGGGCGUAAAGAGCUCGUAGGCGGUCUGUCGCGUCGAAUGUGAAAACCCGGGGCUCAACUCCGGGCUUGCAUUCGAUACGGGCAGACUAGAGUUCGGUAGGGGAGACUGGAAUUCCUGGUGUAGCGGUGAAAUGCGCAGAUAUCAGGAGGAACACCGGUGGCGAAGGCGAGUCUCUGGACAUUUCCUGACGCUGAGGCACGAAAGCCAGGGGAGCAAACAGG